rnacentral:lncRNA from 1 species
GGGGGGGGGUGGCGCUAUCGCGGUUGAGUUGGCAGGGGUGGCGCCCCCACACCCUCCGGCCUAAGGAUGAUCAAUCUUGAUUCCUUUUUAUAAAUGGCAUGCAUUAGACCUGUGUAGCUAGUCACGUGGUAAUGUAAAAAGCAGACCUGUGUAGCUACUUCAACCUGUGAAGCUGAGUACAUUGCUGCCUCAAGGUGUUGCUCCCAAGUUCUGUGGAUUCAACAGCAAAUGCGCGACUACGGUUUUGAAUUCCUAACUACUCCUAUUUAUGUUGAUAAUUCAGCUGCUUUACAGAUCACUCAUAAUCCUGUACAGCACUCAAAGACAAAACACAUCGAGAUAAAGUAUCAUUUCAUACGAGACUGUUAUGAAAAAAAACUUAUCGAUGUUGUGAAAAUCCACACCGAUGACCAACGUGCCGACCUUUUUACCAAAGCUUUUGACAAAUCAAGAUUUAACUAUUUACUAAUGGUAAACGGCAUUAAGGUCAAGCCAGAGUAAAACCAACAUCGAAAAAUCAUUUUUGUAAAUAUUUAUUUGUGUUUUCUAAUUUUUCGUACUUUUUGCAUUUUAGGGGGAGUAAAACCA